UAUAACCUUGACCUCUGUCAAAAUUCUAUAACAAGCAGAAAACCCUGUUUACAGUAAUACAGAAUCGUGCACGGCAGACAAUAGACAGACAGGCGACGAUCUGGAGACUUUGAAGAUCAUCUAGAACAGGUGAAUCAGUGGAGAGUUUGGGUCUCACUACACACUUUAUUUUCUGGUGACGAUCUGGAGACUUUGAAAACAGCGCAUGUACGGACGUAGGGAUAGAUAACAGACUGCGCGUUUACCGACGUCGGAAUGGAUAACAGACAGCGCGUGUACCGAAGUAGGGAGGGAUAACAGACUGCACGUUUACCGAUGUCGGAAUGGAUAACAGACAGCGCGUGUACCGACGUAGGGAGGGAUAACAGACUGCGCGUGUACCGACGUCCGAAUGAACGCUAUGACAACGCUUGCGUUUUACAGCGUAAUUAGUUCAGUGGCGGAAACGUACAGAGGCAUCAGUAUGCAUCAGCGAACCCCUUUAGUCAUUGUACAUGGUAAUCUCACUGGUUUGAAGUAUAGAGAUGAAAUUGUGGCACCUCUCGUUCUUCCAUUUGUUCGCAUCAAUGGUCCACGUGCGAUAUUACAUGGCAACGCCCGCUCCCACGUAGCAAGACUUGAGGCCGACUUUCUACAACAGAACAACAUCAGUACACUUCCAUGGCCUGCCUGCUAUCCGGAUCUCAACCCGAUAGAACAUGUCUGGGAUGAAAUCGAACGUCGGCUUUGACGUCUUCCUCAACCUCCAAGAACACUUCAGGAUUUGGAACAGAGACUUCUCCAGAUCUGGAAUGACAUUCCUCAACCUCUAAGAACACUUCAGGAUAUGGAACAGACUUCUCUAGGUCUGGAAUGACAUUCCUCAAACUCCAAGAACACUUCAGGAUAUGGAACAGAGACUUCUCUAGGUCUGGAAUGACAUUCCUCAAAUGUUCCUGCAACGUUUGGUGAUGUCAAUGAGACGUCGUUGCAUCGAUAUUAUAGAGUAGACAUUCCAGAUACUGAGUUCCGGAAUUUCCAAAUCAACAUCAUCGUUUUCAAGGUCAUAUUGUGAUUAACGUGGACACACCAUUCUUGUGUAGAUCACAUCACACUGUUUAUGAGUGACCAAUAAAAAAAAAAAAAUAUUUCUUGAAAUCAA